GUGCCUUAUCCCCGUCCUACCGAAAGUGCCACCUCUGCCUUCAAAGAGCGACAGUUCAGCUGGGCAGAUACAAUCUACCUAUAAUGACCAGGAAAAGUAGAACUGGCUAAGGGCCAGUCGCUUCAAGGACCCUCUCAUUUGGCCACUUCUUCCCUUCCUCCCUCAAACCCAGAGACUGCAAGCCCCAGCCUGCUUGAGAUGGAGAUAUGGCUCAUGAAUGGAGUAUCAGACGGGUGCCAAAAGACUCAGAUGGAAAUAGGAUCUGAUUGUUUGACUCUGCUUAGAAUCAAUAAUUGGC